AUGGAAGGAAACAUCAACUGUGGUAGCGUGCUUACGGUUGCUGCAUUUGGACGGCCCAUCGUUUGCAAGGAUGCCACCAACGAAAACCAGCAGAACGAGGAGGAUCAGCAUCAGCCGAACCGAGGUCGCAGAGGAGUUGUUCUUCACCAUCCUCGAUUGUUCGUCUCCUUGCUCCUUCCUGUGUUUCUAUUCUACUUGGAUUGGCGACCUGGCUCACAGUUUGUGCAAAAUGGGUGCUCGACUCGAGCACUUAUAUAUAGAGCGCACGUACAUAUAGUUUCCAUGUGUGAAAGUAGGUUAGGUCCAGAUGCGGAAGAUGAAGAAAAAUGGUGUGGUGCAAGUUGA
rnacentral:rRNA from 1 species